AUACGAUGAUGGUUGCAUAGUUCAGCAGAUUUAAAUCAUGAAGACAUUAACCACUUCUGAUGUAUCU
ensembl:snoRNA